rfam:Candidatus Lloydbacteria bacterium RIFCSPHIGHO2_02_FTLL_50_13 rifcsphigho2_02_scaffold_8705, whole genome shotgun sequence.
GCCUUGUAUCAGGCAGUGGCUCUUCGUUGUAACAAACAGUGAGGGGAGGAAAGUCCGAACACUUACCCUGUUUUAAGGGUUAAAAAGGUAGCGGGUAACGCCCGUCGUGGGCAACCAUAGAGGUGCGAGCAGUGAUGCCCGGACCGAAAGGAAGGGGGUCCCGCCCCAGUUUUGCUCUUUAGAAAUUUCUUAAAGAGCAAAACUGGGGCGGGAUAUGUCCGCCGAAAUGCGGAAGUGAAACAGCUAAAUCCUUACCCGAGUGCAAGGCCGUGUGCUGAUUUUGUUCACCAAGGGUGACGAACAAGGCUGUGUGUCCUGUGCGCAACGAAGGAUGACCUUCGUUAUAAGGCCACAGGAUGCUCAAUUUUGCACCACCCUCGGUGGGCAAAAUUGGCAAGUGCCGCUCGAUCCCGCGAGUAAUUGCGGGACCAGAUAAAUUACUGCCACCCCGCAUAAAUGGAUGCGGGGAACAGAAUUCGGCUUAUCCAUACAGGGUCCGC